rnacentral:rRNA from 1 species
GAUGAACGCUAGCGGCAGGCUUAAUGCAUGCAAGUCGUGGGGCAGCAUGAGUAGCAAUACUUGAUGGCGACCGGCAAACGGGUGAGGAACACGUACACAACCUUCCUUCAAGCGGGGAAUAGCCCAGAGAAAUUUGGAUUAAUACCCCAUAAUAUAUUUGAUAAGGCAUCUUAUUAAUAUUAAAGCUUCGGCACUUGAUGAUGGGUGUGCGGCUGAUUAGAUAGUUGGCGGGGUAACGGCCCACCAAGUCUACGAUCAGUAGCUGAUGUGAGAGCAUGAUCAGCCACACGGGCACUGAGACACGGGCCCGACUCCUACGGGAGGCAGCAGUAAGGAAUAUUGGACAAUGGACGAAAGUCUGAUCCAGCCAUGCCGCGUGAAGGAUUAAGGUCCUCUGGAUUGUAAACUUCUUUUAUAUGGGACGAAAAAGGGCAUUCUUGUUCACUUGACGGUACCAUAUGAAUAAGCACCGGCUAACUCCGUGCCA